rnacentral:rRNA from 1 species
UUGAAAGGGAAACGAUUGAAGUCAGUCGUACCUAUGGGUAAUCAGCCUUUUGGGUGUGAUUUUGUGGAGCGUGAGGAGUUAAACGCCUUCAUGCCUGCAUAUUCGUGCACUUUGGGUGUACUUGCCCGUAUGGUUGGUUAACAUCAAUUUUGGUGGUCAUAAAAUGACUGGAGGAAUGUAGCUUCGAUCUUGUAUUGAAGUGUUAUAGCCUUCGGUAGAUGUGAUGAUCGAGAUUGAGGAUUGCAACGGAUACCCUUCGGGGCUACCUGUCUGAUCUCUGAUCGUUGCUCUGGUGCCCAAAGCUUGCUUACGGUUAUCAAAGUCGAUGGUCAAUAGGUUAGAACGGGUUAAAUUCGUUAAGGAUGUUGACGUA